UGAUUGUUGAUUGUCGUUUUC
ensembl:piRNA 21ur-3330 ncRNA